rnacentral:rRNA from 1 species
GAUGAACGCUAGCGAUAGGCCUAACACAUGCAAGUCGAGGGGCAUCACAUGAAGUAGCAAUACGGAUGGUGGCGACCGGCGCACGGGUGAGUAACACGUAUGCAACCUGCCUUCAACAAGGGGAUAACCCGUUGAAAGACGGACUAAUACCCUAUAACACAGGGGUCCCGCAUGGGAAUAUUUGUUAAAGGACAACCGGUUGAAGAUGGGCAUGCGUUCCAUUAGCUAGUUGGCGGGGUAACGGCCCACCAAGGCAACGAUGGAUAGGGGAACUGAGAGGUUUAUCCCCCACACUGGUACUGAGACACGGACCAGACUCCUACGGGAGGCAGCAGUGAGGAAUAUUGGUCAAUGGACGCAAGUCUGAACCAGCCACGUCGCGUGAAGGAAGACGGCCCUACGGGUUGUAAACUUCUUUUGUAAGGGAAUAAAGUGUAGUACGCGUACUAUUUUGCAUGUACCUUACGAAUAAGGAUCGGCUAACUCCGUGCCAGCAGCCGCGGUAAAU